AGAAGCAUGAUUUUCUUAAUCAAUUAAUUAAUGCAAAUGUAAUAGAUUCCAUGAGAAACAAAGUUUAAUGUAAUCUCUCAUCAUACAGUCCAGACAGAGAGAAAUUGAGCUGCAAAGAAGAGCAAAGGAACUGGAUGAAAGAGCGAGGGAACUGGAUAGAAGAGCGACGGAAGGGAAGACAAAAGCUCCUAAGUGUUGUGGUUGCUGCUUCAUUCAAAUAUCAUCACAGAAGACAGAUCAAUCAACUAACAUGAUCAAUUCACAAGUCAGUAAUGAUAAAAAUUCACAUAUUGAAGGUAGGUUAGGUUUUAGUCUCAGUCCAAGAGUUGUGUAACUCAUCAGACCCUCACACUCACCAGACUACUGAUCACAGAAUACAUUUCCCAUCAUCUAUUUUGUAUUAUCUUACUUAAAAUAUUAUGCAUGACUAUGAAAUUAAUUAAUAUACUGAUCAAUAUGCUGAAUUAUCCCUAAAUAAUGACUGGAUGUAUAAAGGCCCUCCCAUUGGGCAACACUGCUUUUUCCAUUGAACUGCAUCUGUUAACUGAAGCGUUCCUAUGAACUUUGGAUGAUUUCCAGAAGUUGACAGAUUCAAUGAAUGUCUACUGGGAUCACCGCCAACCAAUACUAGGCAGAAAGUUGAUAUGGCCAAGUUUCAUCAUUAAGAAAUACCAGAUGGGCAAGUAAUAAAUUGUGGAAAACCAGACAAGGAUAGCCAAUAAAAAUAAUCCGGAACUACCAAUUAUGAUAAGAAAGAAGGGUAUGAAUAAGUGUGUAGUGCCUAAGAGGAGCCUAAAAUCCAUGUUUUCCCUAUUUAAAGACAGUUACAUGAGUAGUUAUAUGAGUAACUAUAAUGACACAAAAUAAAACGUGGCGAUUUUAUAAGCGGAUAAAAAAAGAUUACUAUAAUGUAUGGCGGAAGAGCACUUUGCAGCACUUCGACCUCGGCGUAGUAAUAUCAACUCCUCACGUUGGUUGUAUUGAAGGAAGUUAGAGGGAGACGGAAAGUUUUCAGGAGAAAAUAAAAGGCCAAAUGACAUAGAAGGAAAUGUGGUACUUGUAGUGAAUGUUACAGACAUAAUUCACCAUUGUUAAGUGUAGUUCUGUACACUGUGUUCUGCAUAACUGUUCAGGGAUCGUGGUCCCUUUAAUUGAUCGGAAUGCGUGAUGACGUAACACGCCGGUCAGCGCCAUUAUUCUUUUAUUCUGUUUUUGCUUAGAAAUAAACGACACACGCAUUCGUGUGCUCAAAGUGAGAAGUUGUCUCUUGCAAAUUACUGCAAUUUCCACAUACUAUUGAUUCAAAGAACAAAAUAAUAGGGCCACAGGGUGAUGCAAAGAGAAGUUGAGAAGGGUAGUUUAAUUGAAAAACGUUGUAUACAAAGGAAGCUGGUCAUAGGCUUACGAUCAAUGAUGAAACAAGCAGGAAAUUCAUAAGCCAUUUACAGAGUCCUCUCAUUUCCCAAUAAAACAAAUUGUGUGUGCUGCCAUUAUGACAGGCAUCCAGUGGAUGGUGAUGUUUUUUAAAUAAUGGAUUCAAAGACAGUUUAAUUACUAAAAGAAAUAAAAGAACAGAUGAUAAUUAGAAUGUGGUUUCAACACGAUACUCGUAUAAGGUUUAGUGAAAUGUAUUAUUCUAGUUAGAAUGGAAAUUAUAAAAGGAGCGUAGUAACCAAGAAAACAACAUCUGUUAAGACAAGAGACUGUGUAUAUUAUAUAGAUAUGAAUCUAGAUAUAUAUAGGGGGAUGAAAUAUAUAGAGAGACACGCCAGAUGACUAUGACUAUUAUACAGUGACCUGUUAUUUGAUCCUUUGCAGAGUUUCUGAUAUUUCUGGAAAUCACUAUAUUUCCACCAAAAUGUGGAUGAUAAAGCUAUGCUGGUCACUCCUUCUUGGUUAGUCGUUCAUUUUAAAGCUAGAAAUCAAGAAAUAAAUAAAAAAUUCUGAACCCAAGCUAUUGCAAAUGCUGUCAUUACCAAGGAUUGCGUGAUGCUAAUAAUGUUGGCCAUGGAUCAAAGACUAUGCAGAGAUCUCCAAUCAUUUCAUACAGUAUAUAUACGAGUUUGGAAAAAUGUUUUAUGACUGCAGUGAUUAAUACAACCCCAUGACAUUUACAUUUAGUCAUUUUUAGCAUACGCUUUUAUCCAGCUGUAAACAUUCUGGGCCUGUCGCACAGUGAAUGUCACAUUGCCUAUGUCCAGUAGCUUUGGAUCAGAGUUAUGUCAUUAAUUUAGAAGUGGUGGUAUUCCCACCUUGAAAUUUAGGAAGGAUAACUAAACAUAAAACUAAGAGCAGAGUAAAUUAGAAGGCAUAAGCAAAGUCCAUCAAUUGCACACUGUUGGAUUUUUGAUUUAGCAACAUUUCUUGUUAAUUCAGUUUCCAAUGUGCAUGGUUUUGACCAUUGCACAAGGAGGGAAGUGAUUAAAAAAAAAAAACUUAGGCUGAAAUUUUUAUCCAAAACAAUGUCAGAAAAGUUAUGUGCUAUUAAUAUUGUAUGUAUGUAAUAUUUGGAUUAUGGAUGAAUGGCUUACUGAAGUGGGAAUAAUUACAUUAGGUUGUUAUUUUGGUGCUUGUUUUGUUCUAUUGUGUUGUGCCUUUCCUCAGAUGAAUGAUGGCCAAUGCAGUAGCUAAACAAUUUGUGUAAAACUUUCCUGAAAGAAAAUGGAUUGGUAGGGAAGGGGUGCCUUUUAUUUUCCUUUCUUUAUUUUGUAUCUUUUUUGUAACUUUUGAUAGAGAGGGAGUUAGUUUCUUCAUUGUACUUUAUUUUCCAUAUUAUGUAGUAGUAUUAGAAUACUUGGAUAGAGUAGGCAGGAAGUUAGAGGGUUUUAUGUAUUUUAUUUUGGCACAUGCCCCUUCCUGAAGUCAUUUACUCCUUAAGUCAUUUAUUUUUCAAGUAAUUUAUCUUUGAAUCAUUUUUUUUUAAAUUGUUAUGUAAAAUGUGAUUAUUUUUUAAAAGAAAGGGGACAUUGAAGGUCUUAAGCAGUUGUGAGGGAUGAACCAGUGUAUCAUCUAUUGCAUUACAUUAACUUUUUUUAUUUUUUUACUAAUUUUAAUCAUUUGAAUAAUCGUUUGUAUCCUCUACAUAACCAUGACAGCAAUUGGCAAUGCUGCCAUCUCAUGCACAUGCUUUAAUAAUCAUUGCUGAUUUCUUUUGACUCAUUGUUUAUUGACCCCCAAGAAUGUAUAGAUAGGGGAGCAGAUUCUUUUACUCUUCUCUAGCCAACUGUGGGGAGAGAUGUUUGGAUCCGACUUCCUCUGGAGUGCAGCAUCAUAAAGAAACCUUUUGUUAAGAGGUGAUGGAGGACCAUUAUUGGCUCAUAGACAGAUACCCAGCCAGCAAUGACAUGUGGGGCCCAGAUGGGUUAAGUACGGGUUUCAUGGUUACUGUGUGGGCAUGGGCUUUGGCUGGGUGAAAUCAGCGUGUCCCAUGUAGGUUUUGGAGUCCCACAUAGGAAGCCCAUAUGAGCUGAUUACAUGGGCCCAUAAGGGACAGGCAUAGGCCAAUUGGGCAUUGGUUUGAACUGGGAACACAUAUAUGGGUCCUACAUGGUGCAUUUAUGGUCCAAUUGGGCAUUGGUUUGAACUGGGAACACAUAUAUGGGUCCUGCAUGGUGCAUUUAUGGUCCAAUUGGUCAUGGGUUUGAUAUGGGAACACAUAUAUGGGUCCUGCAUGGCAUAUUUAUGUGCUAAGUUGGGUUUGAACUGGGAACACCUGGGUCCUGCAUGGCAGAGGGGCAAAGCGUAGGCCUAUUGAGUUAUGUAAUUACUUACUGUACAAUUUUUAGUAACUUGUACUCUCCAUGUAGGCUAAUCAAGCAUGUUGAGAUUGAGUGAUUGUAACUCAAUACAUUUGAAGUCACGCUAGUCACCAAAGAACCAACAUUGCAUACAUGUAGAUCUUUUGCCAAAACAAUCCAUCAGUCAUUUUUGUUAGUCGUGCAGAAAAUGAAAUAUAUAACUUCCCAAAAAUGUAAAUGGGGCCUACAUUUACCGCCCAUGAAGCCCUCAUCUGGGCCCCACAUGUCAUUGCUGGCUGGAUAGAGGAUAGGUGGAUUUAUGGUGUUGCACUCUAGGCAAAGGGCUUACUGGUGAGACUAAGUCUAAGAGGGUCCCAUAUUAUGUUAUUUAUUCAAUAUGGUCUUAUCUUACUUAAAAUAUUAUGUAUGACUGUAAUCAGUAUGCUGAAUUAUUCGCAAAUACUGAUUGGAUGAAUAAAAGCCCACCCAUUGGGAAGUACUGCAAGUUUUCCAUUGAGCUGCACCUGUUAAUUAACCCUAUAUGAACCUAUGAAGUCUUAGUUUUUGCAUCUGGAACUCCAUUUCUUGAGUUUUAUUUCAUGACUUUGAGAAGACCAUUGGCACUAACAACGCUCACCUGAAGCUGAUCAACCUUCAUCGCCAGCACUAAAGUCAUUGCCUGAUUUAAUACGACAGACCUCUUACAUUGUGUUGACCACAAUUGCUACUCCAGUUACCUCGUUCAAAGUUUCUCUCAGUUAUCUUAAAGCCUCCAAGCUGUCUUCCAAGAGUCCUCUGUCUCAACUUGUUUCUCUUGUUUGUGUGCUCAACCAGAUCUAGAAGACAAAGACUCAAAUUGAAUCAUAAAUGUUUCAUCACCAUCUAUCUCAACAUGUGUCAUUUACCUGUUUGUCAAUUGUGUUCCUGCUAAAACAUCUAAUAAACCAGUCUGUUUAAGUUGA